rnacentral:rRNA from 1 species
GACAGAGGAUGCAAGCGUUAUCCGGAAUGAUUGGGCGUAAAGCGUCUGUAGGUGGCUUUUCAAGUCCGCCGUCAAAUCCCAGGGCUCAACCCUGGACAGGCGGUGGAAACUACCAAGCUGGAGUACGGUAGGGGCAGAGGGAAUUUCCGGUGUAGCGGUGGAAUGCGCAGAUAUCAGGAGGAACACCGAUGGCGAAGGCAGGUCUCUGGGCCAUUACUGACACUGAGAAGCGAAAGCAUGGGGAGCGAACAGG